rnacentral:rRNA from 1 species
AGUGAACGCUGGCGGUAGGCCUAACACAUGCAAGUCGAACGGCAGCACAGUAAGAGCUUGCUCUUACGGGUGGCGAGUGGCGGACGGGCGAGGAAUACACCGGAAUCUACUUUUUCGUGGGGGAUAACGUAGGGAAACUUACGCUAAUACCGCAUACGACCUACGGGUGAAAGCAGGGGCUCUUCGGACCUUGCGCGAUUGAAUGAGCCGAUGUCGGAUUAGCUAGUUGGCGGGGUAAAGGCCCACCAAGGCGACGAUCCGUAGCUGGUCUGAGAGGAUGAUCAGCCACACUGGAACUGAGACACGGUCCAGACUCCUACGGGAGGCAGCAGUGGGGAAUAUUGGACAAUGGGCGCAAGCCUGAUCCAGCCAUACCGCGUGGGUGAAGAAGGCCUUCGGGUUGUAAAGCCCUUUUGUUGGGAAAGAAAAGCAGCAGGUUAAUACCCCGCUGUUCUGACGGUACCCAAAGAAUAAGCACCGGCUAACUUCGUG